rnacentral:rRNA from 1 species
GACAGAGGAGCCAAGCGUUGUCCGGAUUGACUGGGCGUAAAGCGCACGCAGGCGGUCGUGCACGUGGGGUGUGAAAACUGGCGGCUUAACUGCCAGAGGCCACCUCAUACGGCGCGACUCGAGCCCGUGAGAGGUCCAUGGAAUUGCCGGUGUAGUGGUGAAAUGCGUAGAGAUCGGCAGGAACACCCAGGGAGAAAUCAGUGGACUGGCACGGUGCUGACGCUCAGGUGCGAAAGCGUGGGGAGCAAACAGG